CCUACGGGUGGCAGCAGUGGGGAAUAUUGCACAAUGGGGGAAACCCUGAUGCAGCAACGCCGCGUGAGUGAAGAAGUAUCUCGGUAUGUAAAGCUCUAUCAGCAGGGAAGAAAAAGACGGUACCUGACCAAGAAGCCCCGGCUAACUACGUGCCAGCAGCCGCGGUAAUACGUAGGGGGCAAGCGUUAUCCGGAUUUACUGGGUGUAAAGGGAGCGUAGACGGCAGUGCAAGUCUGGAGUGAAAUCCCGAGGCCCAACCACGGGACUGCUCUGGAAACUGCGGGGCUGGAGUGCAGGAGGGGUAAGCGGAAUUCCUAGUGUAGCGGUGAAAUGCGUAGAUAUUAGGAGGAACACCGGUGGCGAAGGCGGCUUACUGGACUGUAACUGACGUUGAGGCUCGAAGGCGUGGGGAGCAAACAGGAUUAGAUACCCCAGUAGUC
rnacentral:rRNA from 1 species